UACUAUUCAAUUUCCCUAGCUCCUCCUUUCAACCGGAUUUCACGGGUUUGAAGGAACUUCCUUUUCUACUGCAAGCAGAGCAUGAACCUUCACAAGAAGGGAACCAUGAAGAGGAGCUCGGAGUGGGCAAGGGGGAGGCUGAUAAAGCAGCAAGUAUCAGUUAAUUCUCGUGAUUCUCACCUGGUUGGCAUGCACAACACUACAAGGCAAAAUGUCUUCAGCUACCGUAGGAUGGAGAGCCGCUGAUUGGCAUUUUUGACUGCAGUGUCUGUGUGGGUGUACCAGGAAAGGACGUUAGAAGUAAGGUCCCCAUGAUAUCGACGCUUCUUACCAUCUUCAAUGCAGCCAAGUUGAUAUCGAUUUUAAAAACUGGAACAAUAGAUAUCGUGUAGCAAAAAUUCACUGGACCAACUCCAGUUUGCCUAUUGUCCCAACAAAUGUGUCAAUUAUGCAUUUUACGUACGUCAGAGUGGGUUUUCUUGUAUAGAUCUGCUUUCAACACCAUCCUGACCCACAAACUGGUUAGCAGACUCAGGCCUCUGGGUGUAAACGUAUCACAAGAAUGUGUAUCCCCAGAAUGGACCCAACACCUAAACAUGCUGACAACACAACCAUGGUACACCUGAUCACCGGUGAUCAUGAGCGCAUGAAGGUGCUGUGGGCCCUGACAUAAUGGUGAGCCUCAGCAAAACAAAGUAGAUAGUGAUACUUGACCGUUCUCCCAUCUAUGGUACGUUGACAUGGAGAUGAUCAGCAGCUUCCAGUUCCUGGGCACCCUGAUAUCCUUUUCUGCCCUCAGUCACUUCACUCAAAAAGUCCCACCAGUGCUUCUCCACUACCCUCCUCAACUUGCUGCACCACGACCUAUGUACCAGCUACAGUGUCUGUUUUUAUGGCCAUUACACAUGCAAAUGAAAUGUUGUCCAUAUUUACAGUAAGAUCUAUUUAUGGUAACAUUGCACAUAUUGUAACAUUAGUCACUUUGCAUAAUGCUCAGUUUACCCACUUUACUAAGAAAUCAUACAUUUAUUAAAAUAUUAUUACUCUGUCCAAUUGA